UUUAAACUCUGAAGUGGAGAGCAGCCCAAGAUGGCCGACUUCAAGGAUCAGGUGUCGGAUGAGGAGAAGGUACGCAUAGCUGCUAAAUUCAUCACUCAUGCACCCCCAGGGGAAUUUAAUGAAGUAUUCAAUGAUGUUUGGCUACUACUUAAUAAUGACAAUCUUCUCAGGGAAGGGGCAGCACAUGCGUUUGCCCAGUAUAACAUGGAUCAGUUCACACCUGUGAAGAUAGAAGGAUAUGAAGAUCAGGUCUUAAUUACAGAGCACGGUGACCUGGGUAAUAGCAGAUUUUUAGAUCCAAGAAACAAAAUUUCCUUUAAGUUUGAUCACUUACGGAAAGAAGCCAGUGACCCCCAACCAGAGGAAGUAGAUGGAAGUCUGAAGUCUUGGAGAGAAUCCUGUGAUAGUGCUUCAAGAGCCUAUGUGAAAGAUCAUUAUUCCAACGGCUUCUGUACUGUUCACUAUUAUGAAGAUGGCAAUGUUCAGUUGGUUAGUCAUAAAGAUGUACAGGAUUCAGUAACUGUUUCGAAUGAAGUCCAAACUGCCAAGGAGUUUAUUAAAACCAUAGAGAAUGCAGAAAAUGAGUAUCAGACAGCAAUUAGUGAAAACUAUCAAACAAUGUCACAUUCAAGGCUUUGCGCGGCAGCUUCCAGUUACGCGCACCAAAAUCGACUGGAACAAGAUACUCAGCUACAAGAUUGGCAAAGACAUGCAGAAUGCUUAAAGGCUGAAUGUAGGAUUCUUCAGUAUGUGGAAAGAAAAGGAUUCAAUGUAUGGUCCUAUGAUAAAUAAGUGAUUUAUAAACAAGAGUGAUAUUUUGCUAGGGCUUUCAAAGUUAAUAGGUUUUCUAGCCUCAUGGAAUACUGUUGAACCUAUAACAUUGUCUUGAUUCUUUUGUGUU